UACGAAGGGGGCUAGCGUUGUUCGGAAUCACUGGGCGUAAAGCGCACGUAGGCGGAUCUUUAAGUCAGGGGUGAAAUCCUGGAGCUCAACUCCAGAACUGCCUUUGAUACUGGGAAUCUCGAGUCCGGGAGAGGUGAGUGGAACUGCGAGUGUAGAGGUGAAAUUCGUAGAUAUUCGCAAGAACACCAGUGGCGAAGGCGGCUCACUGGCCCGGUACUGGACGCUGAGGUGCGAAAGCGUGGGGAGCAACAGGG
rnacentral:rRNA from 1 species